UAGCCAUGGUGUGGGCAAGCAAGAAGUAACUCCUUGAACCGUUCCCACCACUCAAAAAAAAUUCAUCCUUUUUUUGAGAGAAAUUCAUUAUGUCUCGUCUGAAAGU